rnacentral:rRNA from 1 species
UGGGGAAUAUUGCACAAUGGGCGCAAGCCUGAUGCAGCCAUGCCGCGUGUAUGAAGAAGGCCUUCGGGUUGUAAAGUACUUUCAGCGAGGAGGAAGGCGGUGUGGUUAAUAACCGCAACGAUUGACGUUACUCGCAGAAGAAGCACCGGCUAACUCCGUGCCAGCAGCCGCGGUAAUACGGAGGGUGCAAGCGUUAAUCGGAAUUACUGGGCGUAAAGCGCACGCAGGCGGUCUGUCAAGUCGGAUGUGAAAUCCCCUGGCUCAACCUUGGAACUGCAUCCGAAACUGGCAGGCUAGAGUCUUGUAGAGGGGGGUAGAAUUCCACGUGUAGCGGUGAAAUGCGUAGAGAUCUGGAGGAAUCCCGGUUGCGAAGGCGGCCCCCUGGACAAAGACUGACGCUCAGGUGCGAAAGCGUGGGGAGCAAACA